rnacentral:rRNA from 1 species
GACGAACGCUGGCGGCGUGCUUAACACAUGCAAGUCGAACGGAAAGGCCCUGCUUUUGUGGGGUGCUCGAGUGGCGAACGGGUGAGUAACACGUGAGUAACCUGCCCUUGACUUUGGGAUAACUUCAGGAAACUGGGGCUAAUACCGGAUAGGGGCUCCUGCUGCAUGGUGGGGGUUGGAAAGUUUCGGCGGUUGGGGAUGGACUCGCGGCUUAUCAGCUUGUUGGUGGGGUAGUGGCUUACCAAGGCUUUGACGGGUAGCCGGCCUGAGAGGGUGACCGGCCACAUUGGGACUGAGAGACGGCCCAGACUCCUACGGGAGGCAGCAGUGGGGAAUAUUGCACAAUGGGCGGAAGCCUGAUGCAGCAACGCCGCGUGCGGGAUGACGGCCUUCGGGUUGUAAACCGCUUUCGCCUGUGACGAAGCGUGAGUGACGGUAAUGGGUAAAGAAGCACCGGCUAACUACGUG